UACGGGGGGGGGUAAGCGUUGUUCGGAAUUACUGGGCGUAAAGGGCUCGUAGGCGGCCAACUAAGUCAGACGUGAAAUCCCUCAGCUUAACUGGGGAACUGCGUCUGAUACUGGAUGGCUUGGAUUCGGGAGAGGAAUGCGGAAUUCCAGGUGUAGCGGUGAAAUGCGUAGAUAUCGGGAGGAACACCAGUGGCGAAGGCGGCUAUCUGGGCUGAAACUGACGCUGAGGCGCGAAGGCUAGGGUAGCAAACGGG
rnacentral:rRNA from 1 species